GACGAACGCUGGCGGCGUGCCUAAUACAUGCAAGUAGAACGCACAGUUUAUACCGUAGCUUGCUACACCAUAAACUGUGAGUUGCGAACGGGUGAGUAACGCGUAGGUAACCUGCCUGGUAGCGGGGGAUAACUAUUGGAAACGAUAGCUAAUACCGCAUAAUAUUGAUUAUUGCAUGAUAAUUGAUUGAAAGAUGCUAUCGCAUCACUACCAGAUGGACCUGCGUUGUAUUAGCUAGUAGGUGAGGUAACGGCUCACCUAGGCGACGAUACAUAGCCGACCUGCGAGGGUGAUCGGCCACACUGGGACUGUGACACGGCCCAUACUCCUACGGGAGGCAGCAGUAGGGAAUCUUCGGCAAUGGACGAAAGUCUGACCGAGCAACGCCGCGUGAGUGAAGAAGGAUUUCGGAUCGUAAAGCUCUGUUGUAAGAGAAGAACGGGUGUGAGAGUGGAAAGUUCACACUGUGACGGUAUCUUACCAGAAAGGGACGGCUAACUACGUG
rnacentral:rRNA from 1 species